rnacentral:misc_RNA from 1 species
GGACUAUAAGAAGUCGGAAUGUAAAUUCAGCCAAGUGGGGCGGGUAAUCCGAGUUUACGAGAGUUGGGGCGCGUAGAAAAAUAGAUCUGAUGAGCCUCUGAAUCAAAAGGCAACGGAUAGGCCGUUUGAAGGCCGCUAAACGAUCGAUACGAUGUUUAGGGCUGAGAUCGGAAUCGAGAAAGGAGGUUUUCUUGGUCAGACUGUGGGUGGGGCACUUUCACAAAAGACUGAUCCUAUUCCUCUUCCUCAACGCCGGAUGCAUUGAAUUGAAACAAAAUCCUGUUUAUUUAAAUUCAAGUAGAAGUAGUUUCUUUGACUGCUUAUCCAGUAGCUGGUGAGACGAGUCAAAGUUGUUCGUGCUGUUCAAAUAGCUCUAGUUCUUUUUCCUUUUCUUUCUUAACUUCGUCAUCCUCAUCAGAAUCAUGUUCCUCAGAAAUGUGGAAGACUUUUUUAUCAUCUUCGAACAUGUGACUAUCUUGCUCGGGUACCUCAACCUUCUCGUCACACCCUAAGCCCGGCCGCCUAAAGACCUUUCCGCAUUCUGGAUCUUCAAAGAGAGCUCUCUUUUGUGCUGGAGAAUACAUGGCGUCAAACGGUGCUAACAUUCCUCUUCCAUUGUACAACCCUUGGGCUUCCUCAAUUGAGUAUCCCAUUGCUUGCAUCAUUCGAAGAGCUUUCGAAUCGUAUAUCUUAAGCCCCUUUCUAUUAGUAAAGCUCCUUUGUGUCAGCUAACUUCCCAUCUCCUUUAGCUCUUGGUUUUGGCCCAAGCAUUUCCAAGUGAUGCAUCCGGAUGGUUUUAGGAUGAUGAUCAUGUUUCGGGGGGAUGAGGAAUUUUUGAAGUUCUUUUUAUUUUUUUGCAUUAAAGUACGCUCAAUCCACUUAUCUCCCUUUUGAAUAUGGCCCUAUCGACUCAGAUAUCCCCCCCUAUCCUUUAAAGCGAAGUGGAACUCUCAUCUUGAAUUGGCAUAAGGGCUGGCUCACCAUCCUUCCUGUGACUUUUUGGGACGAAACGGAAAGCAGGCUUUUUGGGGGCCUUCUUCGUAUCAGGAGUUUUUUUGCUUAAUCUUCAACUUUUCGAACUUCUUCACCUAUUUCAUAGCCUCUCUUCUGAUGGCAUCAUAGGGGUCGAU